UCCUUUUUUUCUCCUUUUUAUUAUUUCAUAUCUUUCAUCCUGUGCAGCUUAAUUCAGGAAUGAAACACGUGAGUCAGCAAAAAAGAUCAGGUUUUGCUCAUCAUGCCACACUUUCCACGCGCUCACUGGCGCUGUUGGGCAGUUUGGUUCGUUUCGCAUAAAUUCGCUUGUUUUUAAAGCGAAACCCCAAGAAGUAAAAAAGGGAAGACCAUAAGAAACAAAGGGGAUACCCCAAGAAAAGUAAAAAGGGAAACCCUUAAGAAGUAAAAAAGGGAAACUUAUAAGAAGUAAAAAAGGGAAGACCAUAAGAAACAAAAAGGGGAAACCCCAAGAAGUAAAAAGGUAUACCCUUAAGAAGUAAAAAGGAAAGACCAUAAGAAACAAAACGGUAGUAUGAAGUAAAAAGGGAAACUGUUAAGAAGCAUAAAUGAAAACCCUUAAGUAAUGAAACCCUUUGAAAACAUUUCAAAACAUUUCAAGACCUCCCCUCAGGAUUCCAUCACGGCAGAAAUCUGCAUGAGGUCGGUGCAUUGUUACAGGCUUGACGUUAUCGACGUU
ensembl:lncRNA